UUCAGAAGCAGGUAUUCCUGGAAGUGCGGUCUCUGAAAUGAACUCAUAAUGUAUGGGCUAAUCCAGUGUGGACUAGUGGCUGACUGAACUAUUGGAAUGUGAUUGUCCAAUGUCUUACUUUGAAUACUAGUGUUCAAUGUGAAGAUGACUGAUCUGGCAACUUUGAUGGCACCCUCUUGUUCAACAUAAGGCUAGAGGACAAUCAUUCUUUUAAUCUCUUUGAUUCUCUUCUUGUGUCUACAAUAGCCUAGAAGUUUCCCCAGUAAAAAUAAGUUUUCUUUUA